UACAACUGCGACUUGGCUGCGUUCAGGUCGCAGUCUCCCCUGGAGGCGUGGGUUCGAAUCCCACUUCUG